UACAGAGGGUGCGAGCGUUAAUCGGAAUUACUGGGCGUAAAGCGUGCGUAGACGGCUAUCUAAGUCGGGUGUGAAAGCCCCGGGCUCAACCUGGGAAUUGCAUUCGAGACUGAAUAGCUAGGGUACGGUAGAGGGAAGCGGAAUUUCCGGUGUAGCGGUGAAAUGCGUAGAGAUCGGGAGGAACACCGGUGGCGAAGGCGGUCUGCUGGGCAGUAGCUGACACUGAGGCGCGACAGCGUGGGGAGCAAACAGG
rnacentral:rRNA from 1 species